rnacentral:rRNA from 1 species
AUGUGCAAAUUUAGUCCUAGCCAAUCAGACGACGACAAGUGGAGCCUAGUCAGCAGAGCCGGUCAGCGCAGCACAUUUUGCAAUUAUCCCCCUGGCCUUAGCAGUAAUCAACCCGCUCCAACCCGGGUGCGUGGCUCAUCCUCCGGCCCGCCGGCGACGACGCGUGGGAGCCGUGGGGCCGCCUCGAGUGCUGGCGCGAGCGCGGCGGGGCGGGGUCGUCCGACAGCCUCGGCUACCGCUUUGACCUCCUCGUCCCCGGCGUGGACCACGCCGUCCCCAUCGCGGACUCCACCAUCGCCGCGUCCAAUGGCGGCAAGUUCGCGCUCGACCUAA